CAAAGAACAAUUGAACAACACAAGAUUUGUUCACUCGGUGUUCGCUGAUCUACUCACUGGGAGGGAACGGCAUCCCUCAACUGAUCACUAUCAACUCAAGCUUAUACAGAGUACAACAAUGGCGAAUCAAUCGCUUACAACAACGAAAAAUGAAGACAGAGUAGCUCACUUGCGAAUCCUCUAUGACGCCGGUAAACCACCGCUGGAAUGGUUCGAUCUCAACCGUGUACCGCUUUCGUGGCUCCGUCGAUGUCAACCUAUCGACUUGAGCUAAGUUCUCCCUAUCUCUUCUUCGUUCUCUGUAUCUCUUGAGCUGUGAUCUCUCUCUCGUCGUUGUGACGAUGAGAUCUGAUGAGUUUGUUAUAACAACCUCAUCCACUUGUCGUUUUCCCUGAAAUGCUGCGUUUCAUUUUAGCAUUCACAAAUGCUCUUGGGCUGAGACUAGGGCUUCUCUUCUUUCUUGCAGGUUGGUGACGAUAUGGGCUGUGAAUCGCGAAGCCCGGUUUUGGUGUUUGACUGAACCAGACUAACCGAAAUUCACAAUCUCCACCUUUCAGACAGAACACCGAAAUAUUGUCUCUCUCUUCUCGAACCCUAGCCUCUUGUCUCUCUGAGGCGAUCCAUCGCCUCCUCUCGUCACCGACGCUUAUCGACGACUUCAGGAGCAACCCUUUGCUCUCGUGAUGACAGAGAGCCUCUACGGAUGUAAGAUCAAGAUGAACGAUGCUUCAAUCUCUGACCAGACCUAUCGGCUAGACUCAGAGGAUGAACCGACGAACUGUUGACGACUCUGCAUGAAUCUGAUCUGAGUCAGACUGUUCCAAAAUCAACUGUCAGACUUCAAAUCUUCAGACUUUCCGUGACAUUGAACCCAGAUAAGUAACCACUGACUUCUCUCCCUUUCGAUGAACACUGAACCUUUCAAGAUAAAUUGACACUGAUGAUGAAAACUCUUACUAACUCUGAUCUUCUUUCUGUUUCAGGAACCUUGAAGAGACUCCACCUGAAACUGAACUCCACCUGAGAAGAAACUCCACCUCGCUUCCUAUACUCGGGUAACGACUUCUCUCUUUUCACUUCAAGUUGGUUUGAUAUCAGCGAGUUUAGUAACAACAUCGUUACCCGGAGCCGCUUCCUUCUCAGAACAGAUUCACCAGCUCAGAGCAGAGUCUGAACUUCGGACCAGGUUGGUGACGAUAUGGGCUGUGAAUCGCGAAGCCCGGUUUUGGUGUUUGACUGAACCAGACUAACCGAAAUUCACACUUCAUUCCAUUGCCAAAGCUUCUGUUGUUGAUACCAACAUAUUUAACUUUACUACUCCAUAUGCUAUCAGGAUAAAUCUACAGGUCAUGUGACUAAAGAGGACCUCGGGAGGUCUACAUGGACAUUUCUAGACACACUUGCUGCCCAGAUGGCAAUACUUUCUCGGAUGUACCCUUGUAGAGAAUGUGCUGAUCACUUCAAAGAAAUCCUAAGAUCAAAUCCACACAACCUGGCUCUCAGGAAGAGUUCUCGCAGUGGCUUUGCCAUGUACACAACACCGUAAAUAGAAGUUUGGGGAAGUUGGUGUUCCCUUGCGAGAGAGUGGAUGCAAGAUGGGGCAAGUUAUAGAGUGCAAUCAGAAAAGUUGUGAUCUUCAUGGAACUUCUAUGGACUUCUAGACAUCAUCUUAUAUUUUUACGAAAUUACGAUCCAUUUUAUUUACUUCUUCUCAGCAAAGUAAAAUUUGUAAUUGGUAAUUUUAUUAAAAAAAUUAGUUUACUAAUAGAAUAACAUGAAAAAUCACGGAUGAUGUUGAAAACAGCUGAAGUAAUCAUGUUUUUUAGACUUCAAAAUUU